AGUGAACGCUGGCGGUAGGCCUAACACAUGCAAGUCGAACGGCAGCACAGUAAGAGCUUGCUCUUACGGGUGGCGAGUGGCGGACGGGUGAGGAAUACAUCGGAAUCUACUUUUUCGUGGGGGAUAACGUAGGGAAACUUACGCUAAUACCGCAUACGACCUACGGGUGAAAGCAGGGGAUCUUCGGACCUUGCGCGAUUGAAUGAGCCGAUGUCGGAUUAGCUAGUUGGCGGGGUAAAGGCCCACCAAGGCGACGAUCCGUAGCUGGUCUGAGAGGAUGAUCAGCCACACUGGAACUGAGACACGGUCCAGACUCCUACGGGAGGCAGCAGUGGGGAAUAUUGGACAAUGGGAGCAAGCCUGAUCCAGCCAUGCCGCGUGGGUGAAGAAGGCCUUCGGGUUGUAAAGCCCUUUUGUUGGGAAAGAAAAGCAGCAGGUUAAUACCCCGCUGUUCUGACGGUACCCAAAGAAUAAGCACCGGCUAACUUCGU
rnacentral:rRNA from 1 species